UACGGAGGGAGCUAGCGUUGUUCGGAAUUACUGGGCGUAAAGCGCACGUAGGCGGCUUUGUAAGUUAGAGGUGAAAGCCUGGAGCUCAACUCCAGAAUUGCCUUUAAGACUGCAUCGCUUGAAUCCAGGAGAAGGUGAGUGGAAUUCCGAGUGUAGAGGUGAAAUUCGUAGAUAUUCGGAAGAACACCAGUGGCGAAGGCGGCUCACUGGACUGGUAUUGACGCUGAGGUGCGAAAGCGUGGGGAGCAAACAGG
rnacentral:rRNA from 1 species